rnacentral:lncRNA from 1 species
AAGGUACUCGAUGUAUUGUGAGGUUUAAGCAGCGAAAGAGGCGCAACAUUGUUAAUCGUCCUCCGGUCGGUAUAGUUUACUCGAUACUGAGAAUCAACACAGUCGUUCCAACUGUGUGGAUAUGGAUCGAUGGAAACUCUUGCUUCUUCUGCUCCUGCUCCUGCCACUGUGUUGGUGUUUGGACUUUAAAGUGACGGUUGGUAAAGGACCCGAUGCCUUUCCAAUAUGCACCAAUAAACCGCAGAGUGUCUUCACAGUUGAAUUUUAA